GGGGCAGGGGGCAAGUGGAACUCGCUGCUGCCGCCGCUGCCUCCCAGCCGCAGGAAGCGCCGGGAGUUAAUAUCGCAGUCACCAUCGGCAGGGCUCGCUGCUUUGGCAUGGUUGGAGGAAGCUGUGUCAAGGACAGCGGCUGCAGCGAGUCCAGCCUGCUCAGUGUUGAGACCAAGAAAGUGACCUAGCACUGAAGAAGUGUUUUGUUUGAACAUGGGAAGCCAUCACUUCCCAGGGGAGGAAGGCAAAGACAAGGGCUACUGCAAUCUGGGGUGUUUACAUUUAAACAAUGCUGUCCUAGCUCUAAUGUGCUGGAAACUAUUGCCUGGAGCCAUUGGUUUGAGGGUCUUAAACACGAGGAACCAAGAGCUGUUUGGAUAUCUAGAGGCCUAUAUCCUAUGCAGCAUGUGGCACAUGAUGUCUGAGAAAGAUUUUAAAAAUAAAACAAUGAUAUUAAAUGUUA